UCUCAUGCUGUGACUCUGCAAAGGGAAGCCCUUUCUGUUGUCUAAAAGAAAAGAAAGUGCUUCCCUUUGGUAGGUUACGGUUUGAGA
ensembl:miRNA